GAUGAACGCUGGCGGCGUGCCUAAUACAUGCAAGUCGAGCGAACGGACGAGAAACUUGCUUUUCUGAUGUUAGCGGCGGACGGGUGAGUAACACGUGGAUAACCUACCUAUAAGACUGGGAUAACUUCGGGAAACCGGAGCUAAUACCGGAUAAUAUUUUGAACCGCAUGGUUCAAAAGUGUAAGACGGUCUUGCUGUCACUUAUAGAUGGAUCCGCGCUGCAUUAGCUAGUUGGUAAGGUAACGGCUUACCAAGGCAACGAUUCAUAGCCGACCUGAGAGGGUGAUCAGCCACACUGGAACUGAGACACGGUCCAGACUCCUACGGGAGGCAGCAGUAGGGAAUCUUCCGCAAUGGGCGAAAGCCUGACGGAGCAACGCCGCGUGUGUGAAGAAGGUCUUCGGAUCGUAAAACUCUGUUAUUAGGGAAGAACAUAUGUGUAAGUAACUGUGCACAUCUUGACGGUACCUAAUCAGAAAGCCCCGGCUAACUACGUG
rnacentral:rRNA from 1 species